GUUGAUGAAGAAAACAAAAAAGGCAAGGAGCUAACUAAAAUUCCCACAUAAGCAUGUAUAUAUCUUUCACGACUGUACAAACAUGGAUCAACAGUAUAAUUUUGUAAUGUUCCAUAGCAUGACUUAGGAUCUGGCCACAUCCAAAUAGUUUUAGCAUCAAUAAUAAAUUAUCAACUGAUAACAAAAUAUUUAAACAGGAUUUUAUAAUGCCUUGAUGUCUGCUGAAAAAAGUACCACAUAUUUUGCUUCAUCCUAGUAUCAAAUAUUUCCUAUUUUACUCUGUGCAAAAGUUACCAAAACUUCAGAGUAACGAGGAAAAUACCAAGUGUUUAGGAGCAUUAUCAAC
rnacentral:misc_RNA from 1 species